rnacentral:misc_RNA from 1 species
UCCGGUUUGUCACCGGCAGUCUCCUUACAGUGCCCAGCUUUACCUGAUGGCAAACAAGGAUAAGGGUUGCGCUCGUUACGGGACUUAACCCAACAUCUCACAACACGAGCUGACGACAGCCAUGCAGCACCUGUCUCAGAGUUCCCGAAGGCACUUCCGCAUCUCUGCAGAAUUCUCUGGAUGUCAAGAGUAGGUAAGGUUCUUCGCGUUGCAUCGAAUUAAACCACAUGCUCCACCGCUUGUGCGGGCCCCCGUCAAUUCCUUUGAGUUUUAGCCUUGCGGCCGUAAUCCCCAGGCGGAAUACUUAUCGCGUUAGCUGCGCCACUCAGAUAGCCAUUAGCUAUCCAAACGGCUAGUAUUCAUCGUUUACAGCAUGGACUAC